GCAGCCGAUUCUUUUCCUCAGCCCUCGCGUCUGCGCUGCCGUCCAGUGGUCAUCAGUGCGCACUGCAUCGCGGUGUCGUCAGAAGAGGAAGAAAAAAAAACUUUCCAAAAAGCCAAACCCCACAGAACUCUUGUUUUAUAACCGGAAGCCUCAACGCGAACCGCCCCCCCCCGUGACCCCCCUCAGAGGAUAAAGCUGUAUCGAUAAUGAAUGGACGGCCUGUCAAAGCUUGAUGAUAUAUAUAUAACAUUUGAACCGGCACAAACUUUCGCGCAUGCGCACGAGGACCCCCGGCCGUCGCCUCUCUCCAUCCAGGUGCUUCCAAUCAGCUGAUUAGCCCGCGCAUAAAUAAUCAGCGGCAGCUGCGUCGCCCUCUUCCGCCGCUCGGAGUCGGUUGUCGAGAUUCGUCCCGUCACCGAGCUCGACCGUAGGAAGACAAGACGGUCGGUGUUGCGUUUCUUAUUGUGUCUACAAACACUGCGCGACCCGCCAACGGCCUGCGACGUCAAACGAAUCGGCCCCGACCAAGCGGCGUCUGGAGUGUGCCCGGAGGGAGGGUUCGACCCGGUCCAGCUCCAUGACUCCUCCACACAGAAGAACUUCCUCCAGGACACGGCGAGACCGGGUCGACCUCGUCCAGCUUCACGAACCUACGGCUCUCAGAGAAGGUAUAUCUUCACAGCGAUCUCCUAGUAGACCUUCAAACAGUAGGACUCAUAUUCUUUACUUUGGUGGUUGGCCGCCGUGCCACCUUGCUUGGCCGCCGCGCCUUGACUUCGCUUUGUUUGGCCGCCGUGCCCAUUCAUGGCCACUGUGCCAUACUAUGACGUCAAUUUCUUCUGACAACGCGCCCGUCCGUCCGCCCGUCCAACAUGGCCGCCCUUCCAUCAAUCAUCUUUUUCCUUUCUCCUUUCUGUCUCUGAGAUGUCUAGCAUAGCUCAGCUGGAGUCAAGUAGUAGGGAGAGAUGUCCUUUCUGUGCUUAAAGGGAAACAGUAGAGCGUUUAGUCAUCUGUGCAGUAUAACAGGGAACACUGAAAGCCCUUUAAGAGACUGACUCUGGUUCUGGUCAAUUAUUUAAACUAGGAACUGCUGAGUUAGUGAUGUCAAGUGAAUCGGACGUUGGCUCAGGGCUUGUCUGAGAAAAAAGCACUGGACUGGGAUCAGGUUUCGAAUGUAUUUUAUCGUGAGUGGAGGUAUGUUUGUGUUGGCCUGAAUGGAUCUGCAGUGACUAUGCCUGAGAGUUUGUUUAAAGCUCAGCAGUUCAUAUUAAAGUAGCUAAUGGUGGUUUAAGUUUCUUUGGCCUGUUGAAGGUGCCUGGCCUGCUGCGCCAUGGUUAAUUUGUGAAAGAAGCUUGAUUAUUGUUGCACUAACUUUUCCUUCAUAGGUGUCUCAACGAUGGGUAAGUCCAAUUUUUUGUGAUGUCUUUUUGAAUGGCUGCCGUGUCGGCCUCCCUGUGUCUUGUUGAUAGGUAAGAUUUUUUUGUUUUGUAGAGCAGGGGAAUAAAUCCCAAGUUUAGAGUUGUCUGUGUCCUAUAUUUCCUAAAGUCAUAGAAGUAGGCUAGAUGCAGAGUAGAAAGAUAGGGAACAGCUAACAGGUUCAAUACUUAAAAGUACAAUGUUUGUGUUAGUCUUACCAAAUUAUAAGACCAACAUUUAUUGCUCCAAAUAAUUAAUCUUCAAUUCUUAAAGAGUUAAAGAGCACUUAAAUAUAUUCAUUAAUCCGUCUCAAACACAACGGUGUAGGCUGUCUAGGCUGAAAUCUGAGUAUUACUCCAACAGACUGUAAAACCACCUAGAUUUUAUGAGACUUGGAUGUCUCCCUCGUCGUGCGCGCAAACGUUCGUCCGUCCAACUUGACCGCCACGCCGCUGUCCAGCAUUUUUUCCUCCUGAGGGAUUUCCAGAUGGUAGAUCCUUGUGGAUCUACCACCAUAAGUAAGUGCCUGUUUACUCUUUAUGGGCUGUGGUUUUGUUUGGCCUUUGUGCCAUGUGUUUAUUUUGCUUUGCUGCUGUGCCAUGACUGCAUUUCCAUUUCUCCAAUUUUCCAACAAAGAAGACCUGUUCCUCCGACGUUAUUGCGUGUCCGUCCCAAAUAUUUGAUUUAGUUGCGCGUCCAUCAAACAUUUUCCCCUGUGGAUCUACAGACAAGUGCCGUUUGUUUAACUUGGGGGCCGUGCCCAUCGCUCAUGGCUGCCGCGUCAUGACUUCGCUUUUUACGCUCGGCUACCUUGCCGAUCUAUCCAUCUCCCAUGGCCGCCGCGUCAUGACUUCGCUUUUUACGCUCGGCUACCUUGCCGAUCUAUCCAUCUCCCGUGGCCGCCGCGUCAUGACUUCGAUUUUUACGCUCGGCUACCUUGCCGAUCUAUCCAUCUCCCGUGGCCGCCGCGUCAUGACUCCGCUUUUUACGCUCGGCUACCUUGCCGAUCUAUCCAUCUCCCAUGGCCACCGCGUCAUGACUUGGCUUUUUUCCCUCUUGGCCCCCUUGCCGAUCAAUCCAUCUCUCAUGGCUGCCAUUUUGCCUGUUUCUUUGGCAACAGAAACGGGCAGCCAAAUGGCCACUUUACUCAAUGCGUAAAUCGUUUAUCAAAAUAGCUGUAAGUUUGUCCCUCCAACGUGGCCGUCACUGCGUUAUUGAGUCUUUAAUGUGAGAUAAAAUUUCCUUAGCUACAAAUGUCAAUUUCUUAAAUUGAGCUUCCCUCAACAAAGUAAAUGGAGCAUUUAAACCUUGAUUUCUCUAUUUUUCUUAAAUUAUUUUUUUUAUUUUGUUCAUGGGCAUUAGUGCUGCAUAAACGGGUGGUUUUUAGGUUCUUUUGUUUUGAACUGAAUCAGAUAUCGAACUGAUGGUUUGUCUGAGAACAGCUCUGACCAGUAAUCUGGAGUCAGUUUCAUUUAAGUAAAUGUUGGAGUUUUUAAGUUUCUGUUGGAAAGUUGCAGAAGUAAUCAGUCUGUAGUGAAGGUGUUCUGUAUUGGCCGUCGUGCCACAAGGCCUAAGCCUCUCUCUGUACAACAUGGCCGCCGUGCCCGUCUUAUCAUUUCCUGACUUUCAUUUCUCACUACGUCCAACGUGGUCGCGCGUUUGUCCGAACAUGACCGUCCGUUAGCCGGUGCAAGCAGGUUUAUUGUAUACCACAUUUCAGGAAGGCACUUAAAAAAGCUUUACAUAAAAUGUAAAAGGUUUCAAAAUUUGUAAAGCAACUUAAGACAAUACAAAAGUACUUUGAGAAAUUGGUUAAAUAAAUGAACUAAAAUAACACACUCGAAACAGUAGAUACACACAAAGGUUUUGAUUCAGCCAUGACUGCAUUUCCGUUUUCAUCCGUCCAACGUUUCAUCCGUCCAACAUUUAAUUUCCUGGAUCUACAGAGUAUUUGACUGCAUUUCAUUUUCUCAUUUCAUCCGUCCAACAUUUCGUCAUUUCAUUUCCCGGUGGAAGUACGAAGAGUGUUUGACUGCAUUUCAAUUUCUCCAUUUCAUCCGUCCAACAUUUCGUCAUUUCAUUUCCUGGUGGAAUUACGAAGAGUGUUUGACUGCAUUUCAAUUUCUCCAUUUCAUCCAACCAACAUUGAUGCCAUUUAAUCUCCGUGGCCGUCCGAAUUUUUAUUUCCCCCCUUGGUGGGUCAACAAGUAAGUGUUUUGCUUGUAUUGUGGUUUUGUUAAGCUGCUGUGCUGCUAAACUUUUUGAUGUCUAUCUGUCCAAAAUUGCUGCCAUGUCUGUCAUCUCUUGUUUCUCUCAACAGUCUGUUGUCUCGUCUGACUGUCCUACAAGAAGGCUUUUGUCUGUCUCUGACUGAUGACUGACUUAUAGAAAUUAAAACUUGACUGACAUUAAUUGGACUCAGAAUAACAUUGAAGAAAUGUAAAUAGGCUUUAUUGGACUGACAUAUCAGACAUGUACAGUUUACUAACUUUACUGGCAGAUUGGCAACGAACACUAAUAUUUAAACUUCAACAAUUAUAAAUUACAAUACUAUUAAAUUCCCAAGGACCAAACAGGCUUGUCAUAAAUGAGGCAAUUUGAGGAUCAAGAUUCAAAUUUUUCUUUUCUUACAAAGAGAACAAAUCCCUGUUUUUCAUAGUGUUGUAGGAUUAAAAUUCCAUCUAACCCCCCACGUCUGUCGCUGGUGGGCUACCAUCUACUGCAGGUUGCAGUUUAACAUCCUUGUCCCAGAGCCCAAGACACUGAGGGAGGAACCAGCAGAGAUCACUUGGGGCGAUUUUAUGGUAGAUCUUCACAGCGAUCUCCUAGUAGACCUUCAAACAGUAGGACUAAUUUUCUUUACAUUGGUGGUUGGCCGCCGCGCCUUGACUUCGCUUUUUACGCUCGGCUACCUUGCCGAUCUAUCCAUCUCCCGUGGCCGCUGCGUCAUGACUCCGCUUUUUACGCUCGGCUACCUUGCCGAUCUAUCCAUCUCCCGUGGCCGCUGCGUCAUGACUCCGCUUUUUACGCUCGGCUACCUUGCCGAUCUAUCCAUCUCCCGUGGCCGCCGCGUCAUGACUUAGCUUUUUUCCCUCUUGACCCCCUUGCCGAUCAAUCGAUCUCUCAUGGCUGCCAUUUUGCCUGUCUGUUUCUUUGGCAACAAACGGGCAGCCAAAAUGGCCGCUUCACCCAAUGCGUAAAUCGUAUAUCAAAAUAGCGUUUAGUUUGUCCUAACCUUCAAAAAUCUACCAUCUAACAUUGAGGCCCACUUUAUGCCACGAUUGGCUAGCUUGGCGAGUUAAUUGGGACGACGUUUGAUUCAAUGUCCUGGUUUGUUACAUGAGAAACUGCUAUUACCUGGUUGUCUAGACUGAGUUCUUCCUCUGCUCCUGAUUCUGUAGCCCCCCCUUAAGCUUCUCUCUGCAACAUCCCUUGUCCAGCUAUGCAUGAAACAUCCCACUUCCUUUGUCCCCACAUUUCACUUUCUCUUUAAGCAACCUUUUGACAUUGACUGCCAUACUUACAUCUGCUAAAGGAAGCUGUUUUCUUAAUUCAACAUGUUGGUUUUCACAUGUUUGGUAAGAUGUGUUUGUAGGCUACAGACAAAGCAGGCAACUUGAAUUGCUUGAUCCUUAUUUGCCUUAAUGCUUCAACAGACCUGUCACCUCUAAAAUGUUAUGACGAUCUGUAAGGAUUUAAUGAGUUGGGUCUCCUUAACUACAGAGAAUAAGGUAAAAGUCGACUCGCAUAAGAAGGUAAGGCUUUUCUCCUUCCCCUUCUUCUCUGUGUGAGGAAAUCUGACCUUGGGCCCUUACUGAGACUUAUGCAGUUUCCAAAACCAGACAAGGUACCAUCUGGUUUUGUGAAUCUGCUUACAAUGGUAUGCUUUUAUGCUCCUACAUCGGACGCAUUAAGCAAUUACUGUGAACAGACUCCAUAACUACAGUAUUAAUCUCUGGAUGUGUUAACUUAACAUGACCACUUGUGCACAGUGAGUCUGGAGCAUUUGGGCAAAUCUAGGGUAAGCACUUGUAGUGGUCUGCUUUGUCAAUGGUCUACUGCUACAUCUUACUUAACAAAUGAAAAAGUCAUGUUGAAAAAUGAAAUGGCUUACUUUGCCGACGUGAAAAAGGUAAUGAAUGUUGAAAAUCUGCUUGAAGGAAAAUGAGACCUGGGGACAAUGAAGCAGGAUUGUUUUGUGUGUAGCCAAAUGAAGGUUGAUGCUGAGAAACUUGAAGGGGAGGCCAAAGAAUCUGGAGCAGAGGGGGAACUUUGUCAAGACAACAGGGAGAUCGCAACUUCCUAUGUAACUCCCCAAGACAUUGAAUCAAGCAUUGCCCCAAAUCACUCGCCAAGCUGCCAAACUGAAGUGUGAAAUGAGCGUCAGAUGUCAGAUUGUCGAUUUCUAGAAAGUUGCGUAUGAUGGGUGAAAAAGAAGCCUGUUUUCCAAAGUUGGAUAGUGGUGGGAUGUCUGAUGGUAUCAUGACAGCCCUCCUCUCCCCCUUUUAGUUUCAUUGUUUGUUUUCCCCUAUACUCUCCUGCAUGUUUCUCCCCUGCUCGGUGUCUGUCUGUGUGUUGGUGGGCGUGGCUUCUCCCUGCAGGUGGCCACAGGUGGAGAUCAUCACCAAUCAUUCCCCCUCAGUAUAAGAAGACCGGUCUGAGAUCCACUCGUCGCCAGAUCGUUCAGUCAGCAAGAGCGUUUUCCCUCGUUGCUUGCCUCAACCAUUCUGCCUGUCUGCCUGCCUGCCUCCACGGUGUGGGAUUUGUUUGUUCCCUCGGAGGACGCCAUCGCCACGUGGAGAACGCCACGUAUCGUACUUGGACUGUGGGAUUCACUCUGCACGCUCUGGAGAGCUCACCACCACCGAGACACGCCACCCCUGCCCCUGUGUACUUUGCACUGUAUAUUAGAUUACACAUUAAAUCACGUUCUAUUUUA